AAAUGCCAUGAUCCAGUGAGUAAAGACUGUUGAUUUCCAGACUGCUGAGAUUUGACCUCAGAAACAUCAAUGCUGUGAGACGCUGAAGGUUUGGCCCUGAUGGAGGGACGUCCAAUGGCGAGAUUUCAAGUACCGCUGAAGGUGUCUGGCAUUGACCAUUCCAGAUUCCCCCUCUCUCGCCCUGUUUGGAUCAGAACUCUGAGAGGAAAGACGCAUCAAACGCCUUGUGAAAUCCACAGAUAUGUCAUGGUGUGAACAGUAAAACUGGACUCUGAGAUUCUGGUGUUUUCUUAAAGUGUGCGACUGCGGCGAGAGAAAGAGAGAGAGACGGAGAGAAGAAAGGAGAGCGAGAGAGUGUGUUAUUCAUCCCCAGGGGGCACUGUUAGCCCUCCACUUCAACAUGAACAACCUGCACCAUGUGGCCCCCAAACACACACACACACACACACACACACACACACACACACACACACACACACACACACACACACACACACACACACACACACACACUCCAGCUGCAGAAGGUGGUGGUGACAGACAUUCAUUUGGUGCUUCAUAUCAUGACACAAAAGACAUCUUCCAUCAAGAGUCCACACGCCCUCCUGCUCAUCUGAGGAUCCAGAGCACAGGUGUCCGUUCACGUCUUCCCACAGAAACGUCAUGCGCGCAGGGAAGGAUGUGCCCUGGACUUGAACUCCGGCGGGAUUUUUUUCCUCUUCCAAAGCCUGUGGCACCUGUACCAACCGCAGUACCAUCUGCUUGGCAUUCAGCAUCCAAUAACACAUUUCUGGGAUAAACUCCGACACACACACACACACACGCAGAGGUCGGUGGGCGGUGGAAAGGUUGUGGGCCGACCGCUGGAUUGGAAUGACAGAGGUCUGUUAGACACAUUGUUUUAAUUGAAGAUGCCCCAGCUGGGGUUUGGGAGGGACAGUUAUCCGGGGAGGUCGGGAUGGGAAUUUUUAGGGGGGUGAAUUCUGUCCGGAGGAAUGUGCUGUAAUUCAAUCUCUAAAUGAAGAGUAUCAAAGAGUAUUAAAGCGUUUUACUGGCCCUCGUGCCCCUCAGACGGCCCGCAGCGGAGGCCACAGGUGUUUGGCAAAUACUGUGUUUUCUGAAGGAAAAGCUGGAGGCCGUGUUUAUGUCAUCAUUCCUGCCUACGAGUCAUUCUCUCCCCUACAAGCUGGAAAACCAGAGGAAUUCAUCAGAAUCCACUUGCUGCUCCUUCAAACUCCCUUUUCUCACUUUUUUCUUGUUUUUUUUUCUCCAGUUGAGUUUUGGGACAGAACGUCCUUUCUUCAGAAAAGCUCACUCACAUUCUUUCCUGCUUUCCCAUAGAA